rnacentral:lncRNA from 1 species
ACUUCCUGUCUAAGGGCUCUUCUGUUCACUCGAAUCUUUAGCUUGGAGCUUCGGCUGGUGACUUGCCUCUUGGAAGUGGCUUUGGACUUGAACCUUGGCUUUGACUUUGGUCCUUGGGUUCUUGGAUUGCUUCCUGGAGGAGUGCUCUUGGAUCUUCUCUUUUGGACUUCAACUUGGUACUUCCAACACACUAGUGCAGAUGUAGAUUUCCUCAUUCCUGGGCUAUUGCGAUGGAUUGCUAGUUGGUCUGCUUGCUGAAAUUUUCUCCCCGUUCCAAUUAAUCCUCCAUAAGUCAUUAAAGUGAUUUUCCUAAAAAUUUUUUGUCCUUUUGUUUUGGAAGAGAACCAUCGACAUCACAGGGUGACAUCUUGAUUUGCUUGAUAAUUGGAUUGAAGGGAAGCAGAGUUGCACAAAAACAUUAGGCUCACUCUCUCUUCACAGAAUCAUCAAAGUCUAGUGGCAAGACAAAAGUCAUGAUGGCUGGUGAUAGCCA